CCCGAACACCGGUCAAACUUAACAAACGCCUGUUUCCUUUUCCCGAACAACCAGGAGAGCGCUGUGCGGUAGUUUUGUUCCCAUGAACUAAGGGAACAAAUGCUGCUAUAAGCCGGGGGGUACUGUUCGUGUAUUUGUUCGGUUGCAAGACUUUCCAAAAUAGACCGACUGCACAACCUAAACUCAUGGAACUAUUUCUGGGUAGGAGCCUCAUGUGCGGUCGGUCAAAUUAAGACAUCCAUAAAAUUCCAAAACCCCUGAA